GAUGAAGAACGCAGCGAAAUGCGAUAAGUAAUGUGAAUUGCAGAAUUCAGUGAAUCAUCGAAUUUUUGAACGCACAUUGCGCCCUUUGGUAUUCCGAAGGGCAUGCCUGUUCGAGCGUCAUUAUAACCACUCAAGCUCUCGCUUGGUAUUGGGGUUCGCGGUCUCGCGGCCCCUAAAAUCAGUGGCGGUGCCUGUCGGCUCUACGCGUAGUAAUACUCCUCGCGAUUGAGUCCGGUAGGUGACUUGCCAGCAACCCCCAAAUUUUUCAGGUUGACCUCGGAUCAGGUAGGGAUACCCGCUGAACUUAAGCAUAUCAAUAAGCGGAGGA
rnacentral:misc_RNA from 1 species